GAUUUUUUAAGUUAAAAUAAUAUUAUUAUAAUUGAUUUUAGUAUGAAUCUAGAAAAAAUUUUAUAGUUGAUAGGAUAGAGUAUAGUGAUAGAAAAAUUAAAUUAAUAAAUAAGUAAUUAUUUUUAAUGUAUCUUGGGUAUCAGAGUAUAUUAAAAAAAAUAUUUUUAAAAAUAUUUCUCGAAAUAAGAAGAGAUAUGGUUAUAUAAUUAUUAAUGUGAAAUAAUUAUAAUUUAUAGGACUAUAGAAAUGAAAAGUUAUUCGGUUCUUAUGAUAUCUAGUUUUUUAAGAAAUUAAUUUAAUUAAGAUUUUAUAAUAAUAUUUUGUUUUAUAUACUAAACUUAAUAAUUAUUUAAAAUUUAUAUAUUUGGGGAUAAGCUUAAAUAUAAAUUGGUAUAUUUGUCUAUUAAUAAAUUAAAAUUUAUAUAAAUAAAAUUUUUAAUUAAAUAAAAUUUUUUGUAAAAAUUUUUAUAGAUAAUGUAAUUUUAUUUUAGUAAUUACAUAUUAUAUUAAAAAAUUUAAUUUAAUUAUAUAAUUAAAUAUAGAAUGAUGUAAUUAGUAAAUGAACUGUAUAGAAGAUUAUUUUAAUUAAAUUUAUAAUUUAAUAAUUCGGCAAAUUAACUUAAUUUAUACUCACCUGUUUAAUAAAAACAUGUCUAAAGGGGUUAAUCUUUAGUCUAAUCUGCCCACUGAAUAAGAUUUGAAGGGCUGCAGUAUUUUGACUGUACUAAGGUAGCAUAAUCAAUAGUUUUUUAAUUGGAAACUGGUAUGAAUGAUUGGAUGAGGUAUAAACUUUUUUAAUUAUAUAAGGUUUUAACUUAAUUUUUUAGUAAAAAAGCUAAAAUUUGUUGAAAAGACGAGAAGACCCUAUAGAUUUUUAUAUAAUUUAUAAAAAAAGUUUUAUUUAUUGUAUUUGAUUGGGGUGAUUAAAAAAUUAAAUUAAUUUUUUUAUUUUUUUUACAGUAAUUAUUGGUUAAUUUAUCUAAUAAUAUUAAUUUAAAAAUAAAUUACCUUAGGGAUAACAGCAUAAUUUUAAUUUUCAGUUCUUAUGGAAAUUAAAGAUUGUGACCUCGAUGUUGGAUUAAGGUAAAAUUUAAAUGCAAAAGUUUAAAAUUUAAGUCUGUUCGACUUUUAAAACCUUACAUGAUCUGAGUUUAAACCGGUGUGAGCCAGGUUGGAUUCUAUCUUUUAAGAUAAAGGAUAUAUUAGUACGAAAGGAUUUUAUAUCUUUAUUGAAUAAUUAAAUAAAAAUAUAAUU
rnacentral:rRNA from 1 species